rnacentral:rRNA from 1 species
AUUGAACGCUGGCGGCAUGCCUUACACACGCAAGUCGAACGGUAACAGGUCUUCGGAUGCUGACGAGUGGCGAACGGGUGAGUAAUACAUCGGAACGUGCCCGAUCGUGGGGGAUAACGAGGCGAAAGCUUUGCUAAUACCGCAUACGAUCUACGGAUGAAAGCGGGGGAUCUUCGGACCUCGCGCGGACGGAGCGGCCGAUGGCAGAUUAGGUAGUUGGUGGGAUAAAAGCUUACCAAGCCGACGAUCUGUAGCUGGUCUGAGAGGAUGAUCAGCCACACUGGGACUGAGACACGGCCCAGACUCCUACGGGAGGCAGCAGUGGGGAAUUUUGGACAAUGGGCGAAAGCCUGAUCCAGCCAUGCCGCGUGCAGGAUGAAGGCCUUCGGGUUGUAAACUGCUUUUGUACGGAACGAAAAGCCUCUUUCUAAUAAAGAGGGGUCAUGACGGUACCGUAAGAAUAAGCACCGGCUAACUACGUG